GUUGAGUGUGGCGUUAGGCCGCCUCGGCCCGCGGGGCGGGCGGGUUGGCGGUGUGCGCGCUGCCGUUGUGCGGGAUGAGCAGGAAGGGUGUGAGAGAAUGUGGGGGACGUAGAAUGCCAUCUCCAGUAUCCCAGGAAGGGAUUGGAUAUCAGGAUUGCGAGCAGUGGGUUUCUGUGCACAGAUGAUGUUUUCCAAGGAGAGCAGAUCCACACAUACCUCCCAAGGAAAACUGAUUUGGCAUGAGCCAUGCAGAACCCACGGGCACCCAGGGGAAGGAGAAGGUGCUUGGCAGUGCAAAAUGAUGGCUACUUUGCGCCAGGAAGGCAGGAGGGGCAACACCUGCAUUUGGGGACCCUGCCAAAGCCCUGUGUUCCAUCCAAGAGCAUCACGCUGGCGGCCUGCUGUCCCUGAGCUGCCCUGAGAUGGCCAGGGAGGGCCCUGCGCCCGGGCGCGCAGCCCUGCAGCCACCCGAGCAUCCUCGCCGCGGGUGUCGGCGUGCCCCGAGCUGUGAGUGCCUCCUCGCUGCCCUCUCCUGGCCCCUGCCGACGCUGCAGAGGUCGGAGCCUCCUCGCUGCCCUAUGCCCCUUCUGUUUCGUGCAGUUCUUCGAGGUACGGUCACUGUCGUACCCUGAAUGGGAACGACGCCUUCCACCGGAACAUCGGGAACAGGGCAAAUCUCACUGCAUCACACAACAGAGCCAUUUAGAAAUGCCUUUACAUUUUCUUGCACAUAGAUAUAUCAAGGAAGGCAGGUUGACUUCCUGCUCACAGUGUGCCAGUUAAUCUCCAGGCAUUAAUGAAACUUCACCUUUUGGCAACAACUGUCAGUCACAGCAGCUCCCCACACCUGCAGCACACACGCUCUUGUUGCCUUCCUCCUCCUACCCAGCACGGGGUUGAUGUCAGACAAUUAUUGCCUUUCAAACUCUAUUGAUUCCUUUUUUACAACAGGUUCCAGUGACAAACAUUUAUAAACAGUGAUGGGAUCUUCUCUGUGCAGUGAAGAAUGCCAACACACAAAUGUGGUUCUCCUUUGGUCCCAGCCUUCUUCCUUGGCACAAUACCAAUCAACACUUUGCUGAUUACUGAUAAUUUUGCUCGUUGUGCCCAGAGCUGCAUGUGUCAGUUUGUGUUAGUGACAAAACUGGUCUGUUUUGUCCAAAACAAAACAAAUUUAAAACACUAACACGUUCCUCUUAAAAAGCAUUCACUGGCAUGAAAUUUUAGUCCUGCUUUUUGCAAAAGUUACAAAGUUUCUGACUCAAUCGUCACUGUGGAGCCCUGGGUUCCCACUUUCCCCUUGUACUGUCUGUGAAUGGUACCCACAAGAAGCACGGCUGCUGCUUCAGUUCAUUAUGAGGGGAUCUGUGCUGCCUCGGGGAAUUUUAAGACUCCAACUACCGAGGAAAGUUGAAAACUGCUGUUCUACUUGGUCUGAAAAAUGAUUUAGAUCUCCAUAGGCACCUGGUGCUUUUUCAUUUUAGUCUUGCAAGAGCUUAAUUACACAAGUGAUUCUACUAACUGUUAACACUGAAGCUGACAAAAGUAAAAUACUGCAUUGCAAUCA